rnacentral:sRNA from 1 species
UUACUUGGUGUUCUUUGCUUAUCCACAGAGCAGGUCCAGCACAGGCAGCAGUAAUGUAAGCCUCCCACAAACUGACUAACAUGCACCAACUAUGACCUGGAGGGACCACCAGGAGGGUUGAGAUGGCAACUUUCAGUAUUUAUGAGCACAC